AGAUGCGUUGGCUAACUUCCGACAUAAGAUUGGAAAGUAAUCUGCAGUGAGCAAGCUUAAGGUCUGCACGAGGCUGAUGACUUCACUGCCCACAACCAUGUUUGUGAGGCUUAGGAGAGUGCUGUUUGCUUCACUGAGAUCCACGCCCACCUCUGCCUUAAUCCUGUCUCAUUUUCUUUCCUUAUCCUCGGUGCAGAGGACAGGUGAGAUAAUGGCUUAGCAUAAAUCCAUCAACUCAA